GAUGAACGCUGGCGGCGGGCCUAAUACAUGCAAGUCGAGCGAACAGAUGAUGAGCUUGCUCCUCUGACGUUAGCGGCUGACGGGUGAGUAACACGUGGAUAACCUACCUAUAAGACUGGGAGAACUUCGGGAAACCGGAGCUAAUAACGGAGAAUAUAUUGAACCGGAUGGAGCAAUAGUGAAAGACGGUUUUGCUGUCACUUAUAGAUGGAUCCGCGCCGCAUUAGCUAGUUGGUAAGGUAACGGCUUACCAAGGCAACGAUGCGUAGCCGACCUGAGAGGGUGAUCGGCCACACUGGAACUGAGACACGGUCCAGACUCCUACGGGAGGCAGCAGUAGGGAAUAUUCCGCAAUGGGCGAAAGCCUGAUGGAGCAACGCCGCGUGAGUGAUGAAGGUCUUCGGAUCGUAAAGCUCUGUUAUUAGGGAAGAAAAAAUGUGUAAGUAACUAUGCACGUCUUGACGGUACCUAAUCAGAAAGCCACGGCUAACUACGUG
rnacentral:rRNA from 1 species